UACGUAGGGUGCGAGCGUUGCCCGGAUUUAUUGGGCGUAAAGGGCGCGUAGGCGGCUACGCACGUCCGUUGUGAAAUCGCUCGGCUCAACUGGGCGGGGUCAGCGGAUACGGCGUAGCUGGAGCAAGCUAGGGGGCAAUGGAAUUCCCGGUGUAGUGGUGGAAUGCGUAGAUAUCGGGAGGAACACCAGUGGCGAAGGCGGUUGCCUGGAGCUUUGCUGACGCUGAUGCGCGAAAGCGUGGGGAGCGAUCCGG
rnacentral:rRNA from 1 species